AGUGAACGCUGGCGGUAGGCCUAACACAUGCCAGUCGAACGGCAGCACAGUAAGAGCUUGCUCUUACAGGUGGCGAGUGGCGGACGGGUGAGGAAUACAUCGGAAUCUACUUUUUCGUGGGGGAUAACGUAGGGAAACUUACGCUAAUACCGCAUACGACCUACGGGUGAAAGCAGGGGAUCUUCGGACCUUGCGCGAUUGAAUGAGCCGAUGUCGGAUUAGCUAGUUGGCGGGGUAAAGGCCCACCAAGGCGACGAUCCGUAGCUGGUCUGAGAGGAUGAUCAGCCACACUGGAACUGAGACACGGUCCAGACUCCUACGGGAGGCAGCAGUGGGGAAUAUUGGACAAUGGGCGCAAGCCUGAUCCAGCCAUACCGCGUGGGUGAAGAAGGCCUUCGGGUUGUAAAGCCCUUUUGUUGGGAAAGAAAAGCAGCAGGUUAAUACCCCGCUGUUCUGACGGUACCCAAAGAAUAAGCACCGGCUAACUUCGUG
rnacentral:rRNA from 1 species